rnacentral:lncRNA from 1 species
UGUAGUGGAGGAAUUAAGUGAAGCGAGAGUCCCUUCCAAAGUGCAAAAAGUGAACUUUUUGUCCCACCCACCAUGGACAUUAGGGGCGAUAGGUGAAGGAUCUACAAAAGAAAGCCAAAUCAGAUUUGGGAAAAGUUUUCAAGAAAGCCAAAAGAUGGCUUCUCACGUGGUCUGUGGGUACUGUGGAAAGGCAAAUCAUGUCGAAAGCGAUUGUUGGAGAAAGGGGCGGAAAUGUUUAAUCUGCGGAAGUGGCGAUCAUCAAGUUAGCAACUGUCCGAGGAGACAGUCACGUGAAAGCAAUACUCUGCAACUGGAUGGAGCUAAAUCACAAGUGAAUGAAGGAGGGAAACGAACUAGCGGACCGGCAAAGGUUUAUGCUUUAGACAACCGACAAGUUCCGGACUCGUCUGAGGCAACUGAAGGUAAAAUUUCGAGGACGAAAUUUUUUUAAGGGGGAGAGAAUGUGAGGACUCGCAAAUUCCUUGUAUUUUUCCUCAAAAAUACCCUUUUAUUUGAAAAUUAUUAUUUGUCAAAGCCCACUACCCAAUUAUUUCACAAUAAGUGUAAGUAAACCUAGAAAAUAGGGUUUUACGCUUCGGUUUCAAGUUUGGAGCAAAAUUAGGGUUUUCGCGAUUUUUUCGCCGGAUGAAUUUUCGGUACAGAGUAAGGAUUAAAUUUGAGGAUUAAAAGUGACUUUUAAGUGAGAAAUAAUAUGAGACUAGUAGCAAUGAUAUAAGGUUAGUGAAUGGGAAUUAAAAACCCUAGUACGUGAGUUUUUAAGAAAAACGGCGCGAACCGGCGGGUCCCGCGCACUACCGAUUGAACGCACCACUUGACCCCCACUUUCUUGCCAUACAAGCUCAUUAAUAUUUGAGCAAAAUAUCUCCUAAAUUCCAACUAAGCCUGACCGAAAUUAAUGGCUGAAAAUACAAGAAAGAAAAAGAAAAUUUUACUUGGUAAGGUUUGUGACAAGUGUCACACCCUUAGUGGCCAUUGACCAAGACAAUUGUUCAACCUUCUUAUCCCCAAAUUGGCUUCAUUCACCUUCAUUUUUGCUGCUACUGGCCGAGAGAAACAAGAGAGAAAAACACCAAAGGAAAACAAUUCCAUCUUCUUGAUUUGCUUCAAUUAAGUAAGAAGUUCCAAAUCCAAACCGAUUAAAGGGUAGCUUGUGAGUUGGGAAGCUUGAGGAAACCAAGAAAUUUCAAAGGGAGUGCUCUAUCACUCCUCCAAGCCUAGCUUUUGAGGUAUAAACAUCUAAUCAUGAUCUUGGUUGCUUCAAAUCUUGCUUUAAGAUGUUUCUUUUGCUUAAGUUGUGGCUUAAUUUCAUGAUUUUGCAAGUGGGUGUGAUGAAUUUGGGAUGAAUAAGCAAGUAAGGGUUUCAUAGUAUUCUGCCUAAAUUUGAUGUAUGAUGCAUAUAUGUUGUGAAUAAGGUUAUAAAAGGGACUUUGGUAGUGAUUAGAACAAGAAAAGUGAGAAGGUUCCAUUAAAUACCAAAAAUUCCAGAUUUCUGGAAAUUCUUGCUUCCAUUCUGUCCGAAUUUGAAUCCCUAUGUUAGAGGCCGAAUUGGCCUUAGGUCAAAGAAGAAAAGUUGUAGAGAAUGGUAUUUUAUAGGUGCCUACAAAAUUUCAGCUCAAUCGGAGCAACGUAGGACGUGAAAAGUCCAAAAUACCCUUACUGUUUUAAGUAUUUCCUAAGCAGUCCGUGAGAUCAGUUAAGUUCAGUUUAUCACGUUUUUCGACUAGGAUCCAUUCUGAUUUAGCUUUUUGCCAAAACAUGAAAGUUGUAGUAUUCUGAAUUAGCUUUCAAAUGCCUCUAAGAACACCUGAUUCGGACUUGUGUACUCUGAGAUAUGUCCAUUACAGUGUUCUGCAUUUAAACAGCCGACGAAUUGGUUUCUGGUUUAGUAAUUUGAGAAUUUGACUAAGUUACAUUAGGAACUGGACUAAGUGACCUUCAUGAACAUUGUAGCCCUGAGUCUUAGCUUCGAAACGGCAUAGGUUACGUCUUAAUCCGAUAAGCGUAGCCUCGGAUAAGUUAUUUCCUCUUCAUACGUCAAAUCUGUCUUUUGCUAAAUUGAAAUUCUGCACUUGUUAUUACUGUAUUUCUUAUUCUUAUGAUAUUGUGAGCCUAUGGAACGGCUCUUGACUUGAAUUGCUUAUGUGUGAUGUUGGGUUGUGGUUGAGGAAAAAUAAUGAAGCCAAAAUGGCUGGAAAAUUAGGUAAACACAAAGGGCGUGCUGCCCAAAUUUUCGCCGAGGGCUAGGUUUCUAUUUGAACUUGUAUACUUUUGUUUGGCCAAUACCAUGACCGGUUUUUCAUUUUAAAACAUGAUUUUUCAUCCUUGGGUUCAAACAACCCUCUUCUUACUUGAAAGUCAUCUUUACACGUUUUACUCUUAAUUAGUCGGGUUUCUUUGUUUCCCUUAAAUGUUUUGCUCGAUAAACUAUAAUAAUGUUCUCUUGUUCAACCUUAGGUUUCAUUGGUGAUUAAGGGUAAUAUCCGGAAGGAUAUUUUGCACGAUAUUUUGCAUUUCUAGGUGAGUGUUCCUUAUUUGAUUCUAUGGCUUGUUGUUAUCAUUUGCUAAUGUGUUAAGUGCUUUUAAUGAUUUCCAAAACGAGCUUUCUAGGCAAGUGUGUACUUUAUCGCACUCGACCUAAAUAACUGUGCAAUUUUCAAGGAUUUAAUGAUUGAAAUGUUACUUGCGCAUGAAUGUAAGCCUUUUGGGCUGAACUGGCCAUUGCCCCUUGUUACCGGUCGUCUCGAGCCAGAAGCGGACUCGGUCGGGCGAUUAGGGACUUGGGUGAACGUUUGGUAUACUCGAGUAUUACCCUGUAGGUUGGUGGAGACUGGCCAACGGCCAGGACGGGGUGAAUGAAUGAAUGAAUGAACGAACGAACGAACGAGGGUUUAUUGAUAAACGAAAAAUGCAUUUUCAAAUGAUUGGGAGGAACAAGGGGAAAUGUCAGGAGAACGAAUGAAUGAAAUAACGAAUUGCUCCUUGUGAGCCGUAUCCUUUUAAUGAAUGUGUUACUAUCGCUUUCCAUUGUAAAUGUUUCUUGAAUUAUUGAUACUCCAUGUUUAAUGUAUUGGAUUGAUUAUCUGAUUAUGUGUUCGGAACCUCACUGGGCUUUUAGCUCAUUCCUUUAGUUUUGUUUUCCUUACAGGGGAAGGCGAGCGAGGACGUGAGCUUGAGAUAGACUAGCCAAUCUAGUUUUGUUUCUUUUGUAGUGGUUCUCGCCUAGUGCUUGGCACGGGCUGGACGUAUGAAGGAUUGAGAACCCUUGUAUAUUUGAUGUUUAUAUUCUCUUUUGGGUUGGCAAUGUAUAUAAGUUCCGCUUUAAGUUUGGAUCAAUGCCCUAUUUAUUCUUGUGAUUGAUUUCAAUUUUUAAUUGAGGACUGUAGCGAAUGACUGAGUCCCGGCGAGAGAUGGGCAGGCGGCCCGCCGAACCCUCUGGUACGCCUUAGGGGGAGGUGGGGUCGUUACAAGUGGUAUCAGAGCUUAGGCUUCAGAUCUCUGUAGUGUAUCCUAGAUUAAAGAUUAUGGUACCGGACUGUGGGAUUUGAUUGGACUUGAAAGUUAAGCGAUUGAGGGAUAAAAUUUAUAGUUGCUUCGCGUGGUUUCUACGUGGAGUGACCCUGGACUAAGUGGUGAAAAAGUAUGAGCGACUAAGUGAAGCUAUGAAUUGCAAAUGUUAUAGGCCUUAAAUCUUUCUCAUGGUAUCUGAGGACCAUAGAUAGGUAUGUCAGGUAGGAAUUCCGAUUGUAGAUAGUUUACUCUUGAGACUGCAGCUCGAGAUGUGAAUUAUCUUAAUUCGGAUUCUCGUGCCUGAGUACUCUAUAGUUGAGGUGCUGCUAAAUACUUGAGACUUGUAUUUUGGGAACAUGAACAGGCUUUGUCUGACUAGAAUGAGCACAAGAGGGCAGGGACAUCUAGUUUGGAUAGUAAAUGACGUGAGAGACCAGACGGGCUGAUACUGGGGCGACUUCACCUUUUCCUUUUGAUUUACCUGUAUAUUGUUACUACAUGACGUUAGUAUACCUGUAUGUACAUGGUUAUCUGUCCAACUUGAUAUGUAUUUGUGUAUUUGCUUAUCCGUCUUUUUGGUAUGGCGUGUUAUGUGGGUAUAUGUUUAUUUGAAUAUUUGGUGCCCUCAAUAGUUACUUUAGUAAUCUUAUCGUGUUUAUUUACUAAAUUACCUUUUGGGGGAAAAGAAAAGAGAGGGAAAACAUAUAUAUGGACGGGAGACGUAGUCGUGGACGUGGUCGGGGCCGGGGAACUGAGCGGACCCCGGAAGCAAGAGGAGAAAGGGAAACGUCAGCUGAGCAAGAGCAGGGAUCAAGAGCUGCGACUGGAGACCAAAUGGCAACGGCAAUGCAACAGAUGACGGAUAUCUUGGCAAGACUGGUAGAUCAACAAGGCCAAAUGGCCGUGAAUCAACCCCGGAACCCUGAAAUCGGAGAAGAUAAGGCUCUUGAGCGGUUUCAGAAAUUUACUCCUCCGAAAUUCCUUGGAGGAUCUGAUCCGGAUAUAGCCGAACAAUGGUUAGAGGCCAUGAUUAAUAUUUUCACCGUCUUGAACUACACCGAGCAAAGACAAGUAAACUUUGCGGUGUUCCAAUUUGAAGGAUCGGCCCGAGCGUGGUGGAACGUUAUUAAAGCAAAAUGGGAAAGAGAACAGACCGUAUGGACAUGGACGAAUUUCAUAAGGGAAUUUAACGAGAAAUACCUCCCUCCUUUAGUUCAAGAGAGGAGAGAGGAAGAGUUUAUUGGACUACGCCAGGGAACGUUAAGUGUGGCCGAAUAUGAAAUGAAAUUUACGAAACUAUCCAAGUUUGCUUCUGAAUUGGUGGCCACAGAACGGAGAAGAGUAAGACGGUUUAUACAAGGAUUAAAUUUGGAACUCCAAGAAGCAUUAGCGGCAGUACAAGUGAAUACGUUUACGGAGGCCCUUGAGAAAGCUCAAAGAAUCGAGACUGCAAAGGCACAGAUAAAAGCUUCCCAGACCCAGAAAAGGAGUGCAUCGAGUAGUGUAGUGAGGAAUUAAGUGAAGCGAGAGUCCCUUCCAAAGUGCAAAAAGUGAACUUUUUGUCCCACCCACCAUGGACAUUAGGGGCGAUAGGUGAAGGAUCUACAAAAGAAAGCCAAAUCAGAUUUGGGAAAAGUUUUCAAGAAAGCCAAAAGAUGGCUUCUCACGUGGUCUGUGGGUACUGUGGAAAAGCAAAUCAUGUCGAAAGCGAUUGUUGGAGAAAGGGGCGGAAAUGUUUAAUCUGCGGAAGUGGCGAUCAUCAAGUUAGCAACUGUCCGAGGAGACAGUCACGUGAAAGCAAUACUCUGCAACUGGAUGGAGCUAAAUCACGAGUGAAUGAAGGAGGGAAACGAACUAGCGGACCGGCAAAGGUUUAUGCUUUAGACAACCGACAAGUUCCGGACUCGU